AGACAGUGCCUGAUGCCCUGGAGCCCUGUAGACAUGGCCGCUGGCCUCGAGAGUCCAUUAAACUUGGCUUUGGUAGCUGUCGCAGGAUCGAAACCUCUGAAAUAUCUUGUCUACUUACUAAAGGUUUGAACCCAUAAGGAGCCAUAGACUUAAUGGCCCUACCAGGAUUCUGUAUCCCACUUGCACCUGAAGGCCUGAAAUUACAUGCUCUGAGAUAGAGGAAAAGACAAAGAGAAAGAGAGAAGCAUCAUUGUGACAGAGAAACAUCCAUCACCCUUACACGCCCUGAGUGGAGAUCCAACCCUCGACCUACAAAUGUGCCCUCACCAGGGCAGUGAAGCAAAGGAGUGAUUUAGUCAGAUUGGGGCCAUGAGGAGUUUGCUAGGAUCAAAGAUCCUGAAGACCCCUGAGUAACCUCUGAUGAUCGUUGCUGUGAAGAAAAGCCUCUCUGAGGAAGUAACAUUUAAACUGAAACCUGAAUGGGGAUCAGAAGCCAAAUGUACAAGAAGACAUGAGGCAGGAGUAACAGAUGUAAAGACCAUGAAGCAGAAAUGAGCUGUGUGUGUGUGUGUGUGUGUGUGUGUGUGUGUGUAUAAUUACAUUUGUUUUUAGAAAGAGGGGAAGGGAUGGACAAAGAGAGGGAGAAAAACAUCGAUGUGUGAGAGAUACAUUGAUCUGUUGCCUCUUGUGGUCCCCAACUAGAGACCUGGUCCACAACUCAGGCAUGUGCCCAGACUGGGAAUCAAACUGGUGACCCUUUGGUUCUCAGGCCACUACUCAAUCCACUGAGCCACACAGGCCAGGGUGAGCCUAGUAUAAUUAAGAAAUGGAAAGAAGCCAAUGUGGCUGAAGUCUUGGGAGUAGACGUAAGCACAGGUUUUAAUGCAUGCAAGGACUUAAUCCAGUUGGAAAAGGAAGCCAUCAGAGUUUUAGGCACCAUCUCCUUCCAAAUCCAUCCUCUUAAAUCUUUGAAAUUUAUCUGCUUCUCUCCACCAUCUUGAUUGGUCUAUUUUAAUAAGAUAAAAGUUGGAACAGGAUUUGGAAUAAGGAAAGGUUUUUCACUUUUCAGAUAGAAGCAGUUAAGCAUUUAAAAAAAAUAAACACUGAUAUAAGGAAAACAGUACAGUAUAUUCUGUAGAAUAUAUAUUAUAUAGAAUAUAGAAAAGAAAUUGUCUAUACAGAAAAGAAAUUUAUGGAAGAAGUUUGCAAAACAAUUGCCCUUAAGAUAAAAACACUUGCUGAGAGCCUAUAUUGUGUUAAGUCCUAGAUUCAAAUUAACAUAUAUUUCAUUUUACAAAUGAGGAAACUGACACCUGAAGAGUUUAAAUAACUGGUUCAAACUCACAUAGCUAGUAAACGGCAAAAUGAGAUAUCAACCCAGAUAAUCUGCUUCAUUUGAUUAACCUCUUCUAACUUCACACAAUACAAAAAUUCCCCCACAAUAUCCUUUGAGGGGAAAUUUCUGGGAAAGAAGAGAAUUAACAAAGCACUUUGAUUAAUUUCCCCUAAGUUUUGUGUCAUCCCUGGGAUGCUUCCACAGUACUCUCUGUUGCCAGAACUGUAGUAUUCAGUAUGUGUUCCAUAGGUAAUUUUAUAUUUAUGUAAUUAAACUCUUCAUUUGCUUUUAUGUAAUUAAAGUCUUUAUUCACUGUUUAA